rnacentral:rRNA from 1 species
CCACCACCAAAGCAUUUGCUGUACCGCGUUGACGGAGCGAAGCGACGUCAAACCGAUAAAACAGCAGUGUAAAGUGAGCCGCAGGGCGCUUUGCGCGACAGCGCAAAGGCAGGCGGUUUCGCGUAGCGAAAGCGAAUGCUUUGGGGUGGGGUGACUGCGUACCUUUUGUAUAAUGGGUCAGCGACUUAUAUUCUGUAGCAAGGUUAACCGAAUAGGGGAGCCGGAGGGAAACCGAGUCUUAAUUGGGCGUUAAGUUGCAGGGUAUAGACCCGAAACCCGGUGAUCUAGCCAUGGGCAGGUUGAAGGGUGGGUAACACUAACUGGAGGACCGAACCGACUAAUGUUGAAAAAUUAGCGGAUGACCUGUGGCUGGGGGUGAAAGGCCAAUCAAACCGGGAGAUAGCUGGUUCUCCCCGAAAGCUAUUUAGGUAGCGCCUCGUGAAUUCAUCUCCGGGGGUAGAGCACUGUUUCGGCUAGGGGGCCAUCCCGGCUUACCAACCCGAUGCAAACUGCGAAUACCGGAGAAUGUUAUCACGGGAGACACACGGCGGGUGCUAACGUCCGUCGUGAAGAGGGAAACAACCCAGACCGCCAGCUAAGGUCCCAAAGUCAUGGUUAAGUGGGAAACGAUGUGGGAAGGCCCAGACAGCCAGGAUGUUGGCUUAGAAGCAGCCAUCAUUUAAAGAAAGCGUAAUAGCUCACUGGUCGAGUCGGCCUGCGCGGAAGAUGUAACGGGGCUAAACCAUGCACCGAAGCUGCGGCAGCGACACUGUGUGUUGUUGGGUAGGGGAGCGUUCUGUAAGCCUGUGAAGGUGUGUCGUGAGGCAUGCUGGAGGUAUCAGAAGUGCGAAUGCUGACAUAAGUAACGAUAAAGCGGGUGAAAAGCCCGCUCGCCGGAAGACCAAGGGUUCCUGUCCAACGUUAAUCGGGGCAGGGUGAGUCGACCCCUAAGGCGAGGCCGAAAGGCGUAGUCGAUGGGAAACGGGUUAAUAUUCCCGUACUUGGUGUUACUGCGAAGGGGGGACGGAGAAGGCUAUGUUGGCCGGGCGACGGUUGUCCCGGUUUAAGCGUGUAGGUGUGUGUUCCAGGUAAAUCCGGUUCACUUUAACACUGAGGCGUGACGACGAGGCACUACGGUGCUGAAGCAACAAAUGCCCUGCUUCCAGGAAAAGCCUCUAAGCAUCAGGUAACAUCAAAUCGUACCCCAAACCGACACAGGUGGUCAGGUAGAGAAUACCAAGGCGCUUGAGAGAACUCGGGUGAAGGAACUAGGCAAAAUGGUGCCGUAACUUCGGGAGAAGGCACGCUGACACGUAGGUGAAGUGAUUUACUCAUGGAGCUGAAGUCAGUCGAAGAUACCAGCUGGCUGCAACUGUUUAUUAAAAACACAGCACUGUGCAAACACGAAAGUGGACGUAUACGGUGUGACGCCUGCCCGGUGCCGGAAGGUUAAUUGAUGGGGUCAGCGCAAGCGAAGCUCCUGAUCGAAGCCCCGGUAAACGGCGGCCGUAACUAUAACGGUCCUAAGGUAGCGAAAUUCCUUGUCGGGUAAGUUCCGACCUGCACGAAUGGCGUAAUGAUGGCCAGGCUGUCUCCACCCGAGACUCAGUGAAAUUGAACUC